CGCGUUUUUUGACCAGGCGGAACUCGACCGCCGUUUCAAGUCCUGACGGCGUUCGUCGAUCAGCAUCGCGACACCUUCGGGGGCGAGCCGAUCUGCAAGGUCUUGCGGAGCGCCCCG
rnacentral:ncRNA from 1 species